rnacentral:lncRNA from 1 species
GGAGGACGGAUGAGUGAUUUAGUUCUUAAAAGUGGUUAAUUACAGAAUUAUGAUUAGAAUCUGGAGAAUCAGGGGAAAAUAUAUAGGAGUUGUAGAAGUUAAUUAAGGUGCCAUCAUUGUGAUAGUUGUGAGCUGGGGUAAGCUUGGUGCUACCUCUUUUCUUUUGUUUGUUAUUUUCUUUGAAUAAGAGGAUUGAGAGUUUUUAAAUAUUGUGAAGUGAAUUAUGGAAUGGAAAUGUGAUUGGUAUUAUUUGAAAAGAAGAAAGAUUGAAUGCUGAAAUUUGAUUGUAGUUCAGUAGAGAGAAUGAGUCUGUAUUUGUGUGAAACAUCGUAAUGUGAAUGGCAGUUCUGUGUGAAGAAUUCUAGUGAUUGGAAUGAGGGUAAUUGUGUGCUGAAAGUUGUGAGGGCAUAGUAGUACAGUUGGAGAUUAUGAGGGUGAAUAUAUUGGUGGAAAUAGCAGUUAUUGGUAUGACUGAAUUGCUGUAAGGAAGAGACUGAUAAGGUGAAGGAGGAGAUUAUGGUUUCCUUGUGUGUUCAAAUAUUGAAAAUAGAGACGAUACAUUCAGGAGGUAAUUGAUUGUGUGAUCCUAACGUGAACGCUUAAGCAACUAGUCAUUCCCUGUGUUCGAAUCUCCCUAUACAGAUUUACUCCCAUUAGAUUA